UGCCCAUAAAACGUUGGUAUAUGGCCGCCGAGUGGAGGGACUUGCCUAAAAGGACUUUGGCUGCAGCAUGGACGGCACUUUAGUACAGCGCCACAUGAGACAGAUCUUCCACCUGCUUACAAAUGUCGUCCAGCUUGGUCCUCACCCUCUCGGCCUUCCUCUCCUCCUCCUCUCUCAGCAGGGUCAGUCGAACAGCUUCCUCCUCCCACAGGAAACUGUGCAGCUUCUGAAACUCCUCCUUUAUCAGCCGCUCCGUCUCAUCUGCCUGGGUCUGCAGCAAAGCCGACAGAACAUCAGCAGAACUCAGACAGAACUCAGAACAUCACCAGAACUCAGCAUUGUCAUGUGAAGACUGCAGCAAAGCAGACAGAACAUCAGCAGAACUCAUCAUUGUCAUGUGCAGCGAAGCAGACAGAACAUCACCAGAACAUCACCAGAACUCAUCAUGUGGAGACUGCAGCAAAGCCGACAGAACAUCAGCAGAACUCAGACAGAACUCAUCAUGGUCAUGUGAAUACUGCCGCUUUGGUAUUAGAGAGACGCAGAGAAACAGAAUAGAAGCAGGAUUUGCAGUUUUCAUCUGCAGACACAAUGCAGAUGCACAAUGCAGGCUCUCUUUGCUCAUAGGACUUGGGAGCAUAUGAGGAUAUACAUGUAUGGUGCAUGAGAACACAGUGAUGCCCUAUAAUGUAGACCUCCGUCUCCCUACAGUGAUGCCCUAUAACGCCACGCUGGUUGUGCUACCUUAAUGUAGACCUCCGUCUCCCUACAGUGAUGCCCUAUAACGUCACGCUGGUUGUGCUACCUUAAUGUAGACCUCCGUCUCCCCCCAGUUGUCUCGGACUCGUUCAAGGGUGCUGAGAUGAUUAGACAGCGAGUUGUACCUGGGAGAGAUGCCAGCCUUAAAGAGAAGAGAAGAGAGUCAAAAUGGGCAUUUGGGGGAAAACAACCGAUUUUAGAGUUGAAACACACUUUUUAACGACGGUGUGGGGGUGCACUAUUGCCUAUGGGCCUUUUGCACAUCAGGCAAGGCACAAUCAACUCUGAAUGAUGUACAGUACACAGGUUUUGAGCAACAUAUAAACAGUCAUCUAGUGACAAUGUCUUUUCAGGGAGGACCUCAAAAUAUUUCAAUAUUUGCCAAACAAUACCUAAAUGAAUUCUGCAUAUAUUUAAACAGUAUUUCUCCAUAGAUGUACAUCAUGGACUAAAAACAUGAUUAAGAAGUUCCCAGACUGUUGGGCCACUGAAGUCCUGUAUCAGGCAGGAAUGGGACCACAUUUCACUGUCAUUAGGCUACUCUAGUCUCCUCAGUUCCUAAAACAUUUACUGUACAGGAUGUUUUUAAAUGAAGAGGUGAAGCAUGUUGCUGACACAUAUUGAUGUGUUGUCUUUGAACUACUCUCAGUUAAAUAGGUUUGACAUGAUUUGUAAAUCAUAGAAUUCUUUUUUAUUCACAUUUUAUAAAACAUCCCAACUUUU